rnacentral:rRNA from 1 species
UACGUAGGGUGCAAGCGUUGUCCGGAAUUAUUGGGCGGUAAGGGCUCGUAGGCGGUCUGUUGCGUCAGGAGUGAAAACUCGGGGCUUAACCCCGAGCCUGCUUCUGAUACGGGCAGACUAGAGGUAUGCAGGGGAGAACGGAAUUCCUGGUGUAGCGGUGAAAUGCGCAGAUAUCAGGAGGAACACCGGUGGCGAAGGCGGUUCUCUGGGCAUUACCUGACGCUGAGGAGCGAAAGUGUGGGGAGCGAACAGG